AUUCCGUUUCCUUCGUUUGUUUAAUGUAAAUUUAAUGCGCAUAUUGCACACUUUGGUUUCUCGAGAGAAAAAUCUAAUCCAUCAUGAACUCUGCGAUUUAGAGGGGAGUUGUAGUUUCCAACAGACCAAUAUUGUACAUAGUUUAGAGCAGUAAACGUAGUUAUUAACUACAAUGACCUUAAUCCAUUGCGCAUCUACUUGUUCUGUUUUUAUUUUAUGUCAGCUAAGGAAGAGCCAGAAGAAUGCGCUAUCAUGAGGGAACAGCUGUUGCUUUGCGAGAUGAGCUUCCGACUAUAGACAUAGAUAGUGAUGAGGCUGAAGAUAAAGAUGAGAAGAACGGUGUGGGGAAAAUCUCUGACUGUGAGUCGGAGUCCUACGCUGAGGAACCAAAAUAAUCAUCACCUAAACGUACGACGGGGCGGCCUGGCGGAGUGACUGAACAGGCUCCAGUGCAGGCAGAGGUCAACCAUCAGCUUCUGGAGGCACCAGUCCAUCUCUGACAUUAC